GACGAACGCUGGCGGCGUGCCUAAUACAUGCAAGUCGAGCGGACUUUAUCCUUCGGGGUAAGGUUAGCGGCGGACGGGUGAGUAACACGUAGGCAACCUGCCUGUAAGACCGGGAUAACAUUCGGAAACGGAUGCUACUACCGGAUAUGCAACUUGGCUGCAUGGCUGAGUUGGGAAGGACGGCGCAAGCUGUCACUUACAUAUGGGCCUGCGGUGCAUUAGCUAGUUGGUGAGGUAACGGCUCACCAAGGCGACGAUGCAUAGCCGACCUGAGAGGGUGAUCGGCCACACUGGGACUGAGACACGGCCCAGACUCCUACGGGAGGCAGCAGUAGGGAAUCUUCCGCAAUGGACGAAAGUCUGACGGAGCAACGCCGCGUGAGUGGUGAAGGUUUUCGGAUCGUAAAGCUCUGUUGCCAGGGAAGAACAGCCAGGAGAGUAACUGCUCUUGGAAUGACGGUACCUGAGAAGAAAGCCCCGGCUAACUACGUGCCAGCAGCCGCGGUAA
rnacentral:rRNA from 1 species